CCUUUGACGUUAGCGGCGGACGGGUGAGUAACACGUGGGUAACCUACCUAUAAGACUGGGAUAACUUCGGGAAACCGGAGCUAAUACCGGAUAAUAUUUCGAACCGCAUGGUUCGAUAGUGAAAGAUGGUUUUGCUAUCACUUAUAGAUGGACCUGCGCCGUAUUAGCUAGUUGGUAAGGUAACGGCUUACCAAGGCGACGAUACGUAGCCGACCUGAGAGGGUGAUCGGCCACACUGUAACUGAGACACGGUCCGGACUCCUACGGGAGGCAGCAGGC
rnacentral:rRNA from 1 species